UACGUAGGGUGCGAGCGUUGUCCGGAAUUACUGGGCGUAAAGAGCUCGUAGGUGGUUUGUCGCGUUGUUCGUGAAAACUCACAACUCAAUUGUGGGCGUGCGGGCGAUACGGGCAGACUGGAGUACUGCAGGGGAGACUGGAAUUCCUGGUGUAGCGGUGGAAUGCGCAGAUAUCGAGAGGAACACCUGCGGCGAAGGCGGGUUGCUGGGCUGACACUGACGCUGAUGCGCGAAAGCUAGGGGAGCGAACGGG
rnacentral:rRNA from 1 species